UCAAAUCCGUGCUCAAGAUUGGUAUGGCUCAAUUGCUAUGGCAUUCCCCUUCAUUUGUGGAACCAUCAAACAUUCUCAGAAAUUAGUAAAAUCUAGGGGGAGGUUAUUAUGCUAGCUAAUGAUACAAUCAAGAAUCUAUCUUUUGCGGUGGGUAAAGUUCUCAUAUCAACAACAGUAAUGGAUUUGAUAAAUAAAGUUGUGGAGUUGGAUAAUAAUGGGAGUUUAUCCCAAAUCAGAGUCAUGGAAGAGCAACUUGUGGUGAAUACAGUUCUACGCACUGACUAUGCUUGUCCAGGAUGUCAAGUGGAGGCCUCUCCUUUGCAUAAACCUUUGGAUGAUUCAAGUAUGCAGUCUCUUACAAAGAGGGAUAAUGGUGGUUAUGUCAGAUCCAAGGUCCCCCUGAUUGAGGAAGUGGCAGAGUCUGUCAGUUCCCCUAUGGAAGCAGUACCAUCUCUAUUGGGUCCAUACCCUACUAUGGCUAAUAAGUCCUCAUUUAUGGUCAAUAUAAAUAGCAUGUAGUUGGCACCCUAUACUGGGUCUAAGUGCUUCAAGCAGGCUACUCAGUGCUCGAGGUCAGUUCAAUACUCUCCACCAAAGGGAAGAAAAAUAGUCAAUUCUUAUUUGGAGGCCUUGAUGAGUAAUGUGGUGCUGUCCAAGCCACGUAUUUCCCCUCUAAAGGUAAACUCCUUCAUCCCGUUAAUUCGGAACUAUGUAUCUCAUGUCUCCCAUAAUAAUCUUAGUAUUGCUUCUCACAAUAAGAAAGACAACCCUAAUAAUCUGAAUGGCUCCAUUCAAGUUUCCAUCUUGCCUGCAAUAUCUAAAAAGAAUAAAAAUCUGGAUGAUAAACAAAAAAGGAAACAGAGAUCAAUCGAGGGUAUUUUGGGAUUGGAAAAAUCUGUAAGGUCUAAGAGAGGAGGUAGAAGAGGAAAGCAAAAGUGUGUGGUGUUUCAUUUAGCUAUGGUCGCUGCUACAUUAUCGGUGUCCACAGAAGAGAUUAUCAACAGAAACAAGAUUUUCCUAAGUGAAUCAAAAGUUGCUUGGUCUGUCACCAAAAUUCUGGGAACUGACUUCAUGGGAAUGAUGAAGUCAUUAGUAGGAUCAUUGUUACUGAUGAGGAAGUCGAACUGAGGUUUAUUCUUCUGGCUCAAUCCAAUUAGUAUUUAUACGAUCACUGCUAAUUAGGGUAGUAUGAAAAUUCUCCCUCUAAAUGUUAGAAUAUUAGAAAUGAGAGAUAAAAGGCGUAAAGUGAAGAAUUUCGUCAGUAAUCAGAUAGUGGUCACGUUGUUUUUACAGGAAACAUAGUUAAAGGAACUUAAUUUUUCAAGUUAGUAUGCGCUUGUUGUAAUAGGUAUUUUGCUCUCAUAAGUGGUGUCAUUCUCAAUUUUUGGUCGAUGUAUUGGCAAGGUUUGAGGAAUUGCAGAGAUGGGAUUGUCAUUUUAGAAAAGCUCUAUUGGAUAGGAAAAUAGAAGCUUUGAAAGAGCUAAACGCAUUUUUUGUUGUCUCUGGUGUGGUGGUUGCCUUUGAUAGGCCUGAUCAGCUAGUUUUGCGAGGCUGCUCCUCAGUGAACUUGAAUCUUUAGUCCAUUUGUUGCUCCACUAUACUCUUGUUUGGGAUUGUUGGGUUGCCAUGUUAAGGUGGUGUGGCUUAUCCUGGGCAACCCUGCAUCUCUUGUAAUCUUGUUUCACUGGUGGAGUGUCUGGCUCUGGCAGCCAAGGGUCAAAGUGCUCUGGGCUCCUAUCCCUUUGGCUGUGGUGUGGGCUGUCUGGAAUGUUAGAACCAAAAGGUGUUUGAUUAUAAGCCAGUGGAUUGGAUGGAGGCUACUCAAGCAAAUGGUAGGCAUUUAACAAUGGUCGACAUCAUAUUUAGGAUGAUUUCAGUGGCUAGUGCAGAGUAGCUUCCUCUAAUUCUUUGCUGGUUGGUAGUCUAGAUAUUAUUCAGGAAUGUUCAGUUUAGUUUUAUUUCUGGUUAAGUUCCAUAUCCAGUUCUCUGCUUAUAUGGAUUUCAUGAGGUUUUUGGAUCACCCCUUGUUUAAUCUCAGUGUUUAAGUCAAGAUGUUCUCACUAGGGUCCCGUUAGGAAAGCGUUGGUGUGUGGCGUUCAUGGCUCGAGUAUUUUGCUAUUGGUGUGGAUAAGCCGCGAGGAUGUCCAAAUGCUGGCAAUAUCUGGGUUUGUUGUGUUUCAUUUCUAUCUUAGUUGAUAGAAUUCUUAGUAGUUCUUUAAGGUUCUGUUUGUUUUGUUGAUUUCUUAUUAACUUUUUGGCUAGUUGUUUCCGUAUGUGUUGUAAUUUUGUUUCUCUCUUCUCUCUUCUAAUGAAAUCCUCCUCUUUGCCGUUCCAAAACAAAUAAAUUCUCACUCUACUCGCAAUCUACCACCGGUGGUCUGUUGGUGGCCGAGCAUCCACCACCUCCCUCACACUCUCAUUGCCUCACUCUACAUCUCUUAUCUUCCACACCCUAUACACAACCAUAGGACUUGUAUAUAUAUGCCUAGAAUUACACAAUUUUUUAGAGCCAUUAACUUAGAAAUUAAGGCUCCCUUAGGAGCUAAAAAGCUCCAUUGGAAGGAAGCAGCUUUGGAAAAAAGCAAAUAUAGGAAGGAAUGGUCAAUCCUUGAAACUCCAAGCUUUUGAAGUUAAGUCAAUUCCAACAAUCUCCACCGAGGCGAAAACUUCUUCUAACCAUAGUAACACUACCACCGAUACACCUUUCGAUGUCAGUUAUUGGUCAAGUUCAAGUAGAAAAAACUUGACCCAGUCACGAUCUUCUUGACAAUUGUAAGGUUCCACCUUGCCAAGAUCUUUGACUUCCAUGAAAACACAAGUGCUUGAGCCAAUCAAAAAUGAAUCACAAAUGUUCGAGACACAUUGAACCAAAUCCAAGUGGCCAAAACAAAUGCCCAAGGUAUAUGAAGAGCCAUAUAAGAUACCAAAUUGAGAGUCUACUCACAGAUGCUGGUUCCAGAUAUGAAAUUUCUACUCAAAAAGUCUUCUUAAAUAACUGUAGCCAAAUUUGAGAUCCCUAAUUAGAUCUAGGAACUCUAUUUCAAGAGUCUUUCCAUAAUUUAUAGUAACCAAAUAAUGUGAUUACUCCUUAGUUAACUUUACCACAUGUGGUGGAUGUAUUUAACAAUUUUCACCUCGUCCGCCCAAUGCUGAUUUGUAAGAUUCUAAAAUUUUAAAAUAUUUAAUUUUUUCAAAUUGAUAUAAAAUAGACACGAUAAAUAUUAAUUAUAAAAAAUACAUGUUAUUUAUGUGAAUUUAAAGUAUGUUGUUAUGUUCCAAGUAUUAAGUAUGAUUUUUUGAAAUUUUUUACAAAAACAUGAUUUUUUAUCCAAAUUUUUUUUCUGUUAAAGCAUAAUAGAGAAGAAUGGAUAUAUGUCAAGCAUACAAGGCUGAACUAUAUGGACCAAUAAGGAUCACAUGGCAGUGUGACUCACUACCAUGAGUCACCAGAAGUUAUUAAUGACUUGGGUGACUUGCCCCAUAAGUCACUAUAUUGUUUUCUCCCAGCACUUUUGCUAGGACUUGUACCUACGCAGAGAGUGAGAGAAAAAGAAGAAAGGAAUAAGAAGAGAGAAAAGAAAGAUGAAUUUUAAAGAAAGAAAGAGAGAGAGAGAGAGUUAGAAGAGAAAGAAAAUGGGAAAGGUAAGUGAAGUACAUGAUAUCCAAUUUAGUUUCACCAAGUAACCUCAUCAAUCUUCUUCAUUUAUUUUACAUAUUUUGAUUCAAAAAGGGUCUAAAUGCUCUAGUAUUGAGUGUUAUACUCUAUCAUAGUCAAAGUUAAAAAAUAUGUUGAAAGCAUGUCACGAGGACAUCAUUUUAGGAUCAAGUUUCAAAACAAAACUAUGCUCUGUUUUCAUUUAAAAAUCACAAUCAGUGUUUUGGGCAACACUUCCUUAUAUGAAAAUCUUUUGACUUGAUUCAAGUAUCGUAGAAUAGAUAUUUUAAAUACCUACAACUUUUUUUCAAAUAGAUUUUUUCUAAUUUUGAGGUUAGCUUGCCCAAAACAAGCUUGGAAGUCAGGCCAAAAAAAUUGAGUCCUUCAUUUUUCUCCAACUGGAUUGGUAAAACUUUUUCCCAACCGACUGAGCAUAUAUGUUUUACGCUCUAAUCAUGCUAGACUGGCAGUACUUUUCCCUGACCAGUAGAGCAUAUAUGUUUUAGGCUCAUCAUUUUCCCCGAACGAUCGAACAUAUUCCCUAAUUGGUCGAACUUGUCUCGACCAGUUGAACUUUGCCUCGACUAGUAAUAGGUUACCGUAUCAUACCACUGUUUGUCUUCAACUGUUACAAUAUUUUUCCCGAAUGAUCGAACGUUUUUCCCGACCAGUUGAACAAUUUUCCCAUAUGGGUUGAGGCUUGAUAGCCCCCUAGCUUUUGAAUUCCCAAGCAUCCACGGUUAGACUAGUCCUCAGUCGAUAAACCUAAUUAUGUUGUAAACACUUAAUUAAUGUUCAAAGUCUAAUCAUUUCAAUAAAUGAUACAUAAAAAAAAUCAAUCUAACUAACCUAAGGAACAUGACGAAAAAGAGUAGGGUAAUACCUACACAACCAAGUAUGUAACCUUAUGUUAUGCUAUGCAAAUCAAAUCAAUGGAUUAGAUAAGAAUCUUUCAAAAAGGUUUUGUAUGUAUAGGCAUAUGUACCUCAUGUUUCUACCUUUCGAUAAGGUAUUCAGUGCUAGCAUAUUUCAACCUAUAAGGCUACGGAUUUGUAUGAUACCCGACUAAAGACGAGCAGUCAUAGGGAAUAAUGUGUGUUUCAAGAAUUAUGUUGACAAUUAUACGCAUGAUCAAAUCAUAAGUUUUAGCAUGAAUUAUAACAUAACCGAUUAAGGGCAGACACGAGUAUUCGUGUGAAUUUUGAAUAUGUUGUUUCGAAAUAUCAAAUGUUUUAGCUUACUUACAGUAUGAUAUGUUAAGCGCAUCUACCAUGGUAUUUCAUGUCUUUGAUAUGUAUAUUAAAACCUAUGUUAGAGAUUAUAUUUAUACACUAAGUAAAUGUUCUUAGGAACAUUAUUUCUAACAAUGUUUCAGAAAAAAGGCAAGCAAGUAGAGUAGAUCGAUAAAACCACAUGUUUUGGAUUUCAUUUUGAACAAUGUAAAUUUUAAGAAUUAUUCUAUCAUGAGAUGUUAGAAGAUCAUAGAAUGUUGUUGAUUGGCCUAGACUAGAAUGUCCGAAAUAUUUUGAAUAUUUAUGUAUAUAAGUAUAUAUGUAAUGAUAAGACAUGUAAAGGUUCUAUAACAUUAUGGGCAUGUGUUUUUAAAAUGAGUGAAUUUUAAACAUUCGUUCUUUUUGGCUCCAAAAAUAAAUAUACAUGUUUUUCUUUAGCAAAUAAAAAGAAAAAAAAUUAAAGAAAAAAACGGACAAGGAAACUCAGAGUGACUGUGCUCGGCGCUAUGUGGAGCCACAUGGGGUUGGGGGUCGUUACAUGACUACUGUGCCAUAUCCCCUUUUUUUGGAGUACCAAAACAAAUCCACUGCAAAAUGAAAUAGCCAAAUUUUUGGAUUAUUGCCCAAACUCUAGAUUCAAACAAAUCCAAUUCCAAUGGCGGCGAUCGGCCAAUCAAUUCCACUAACGGAUCCAAAUUCUGAUCAAUUCAACUCAGCAUUCCCAAUGAUCCAUCUCUAAAUUUCAAUGCUCUUUACAAAUUCAGACCUUGAAGAUAAAUCCAGAAUACAAGAAAAUCUAGGGGGACUAAAUUAAAAAAACUAGAAAGUCCUAGGAUUAAAUUGUAAUUAUCAAAACUUUAGGUACUCAACUGUAAUUUUUAUAAUUUUUUUGGAUUAAACUAUAAUUUUUUCAAAGUUAGGGACUAAAAAAUAUAAAUUUUAAGGACUGAUUUAUAAUUUUUCCAAAUUGAAGAAUAUUCCUAGAAUAUUCUAUUUGCUGACUAAACAUUGAUCGAAUGACAUGGCACUGACCAGAUUGCUGACAGAGCACUGACCCACUGAUGAGGUCGCGUGAAGCGCGUGAACUGAUGGACACUCGUGAACCAAAAAUGCGUUGGCGCAUGCGAUGCAUGAACGAGUGAAGCCCACUCUUUUUUAACCUCUAGCAGCGCGUGGGGUAAGUGGAGCGGGUGAAACUCAUGCGUCGAUACUCAAGUGGAGCAUGUGUAGUCGUUUAGUAUUUCCAAAACUCUAGAUUCAAACAAAUCAAUUCCAAUGGCGCCGAUUAACCAGCCAAUUCAACUAACGGAUCCAAAUUCUGGUCAAUUCAACUCGGCAAUCCCAAUGAUUUGUCUCUAAAUUUCUAUACUCUUUAUAAAUUCAAACCUUUCAGAUAGAUCCGGAAUACAAGAAAAUCUUGGGGGACUAAACUAAAAAAAAACUAGAAAGUCCUAGGAUCAAAUGGUAAUUAUCAAAACUUUAGGGACUCAAUUGUAAUAUUUAUAAACUUUUUUGGAUCAAACUAUAAUUUUUCCAAAGUUAGGGACUGAAAAAUACAAAUUUUAGGGACUGAUUUAUAAUUUUUCCAAAUUGAGGAAUAUUCUUGGAAUAUUCCGUUUGCUGAAUAGGAGCUAACCGAAUUGUUAACAGAGCGCUAAUGUGGCUCUAACUAGAUUGUUGACAGAGCACUAAAUUGGCACUGACGAGGUCGCGUGAAGAGCAUGAAGUACUUAUGGAUGCUCGUGAACCAGAAAUGCGUGGGCAAAUGCGGUGCGUGAGCGAGUGAAGCUCACUCUUUUUCAACCUCUGGCAGCGCGUGGGGUAAGUGGAGCAGAUGAAACUCACGCGCUGAUACUCCAAUGGCGCAUGUGUGGUGGUUUUUGGUCUCAGUUUGAACCAAGAGAUUCAUCACCUCAAUACAAACACGAUGGUGUUCUAAAAAAAAAUUUAGAGCACAAAUACAAAAAACUGAGACUCCACUUGGGCUCUAAUACCAAUUGUUAUCCUAAUACUACUUUUCAUUGUUCAAGAUCCCAUAAUGAGUUGCUUAGGAGAUUGAUAUGAUCAAGAAGUUACAUUUGGUAAGAUGGGAACAAGUGUAUGCGAAACUAAGAGGAAGUUACAUUUGGUAAGAUGGGAACAAGUAUCUUGCAAUAAAGAUUUUGGGGGUUUGAGUAUUAGGAUAAUUAGAGUAAUGAAUGAUUAUUUGCUUUUGAAGUGGUGGUGGAGGUAUGGGGUUGAAAGAGCGGCACUGUGGAAAAAUGUUAUUACUGCAAAAUAUGGUCGUGAUGAUUCUCAAUGGGUUUCACCUAGAAAGGUGUGGAGUGAUAUCACUUUAGUAAGAUUAAGAAAUCAGGAUUUAUGCUCAAUUUUCCAUAAUGGUUCAAAGAUCUCAAUUGGGUCUCAUUCUGGGAGGAUCAACGAGGGAGUGAUGCUUCUCUGAAGAUUCAGUUUUCCUAGAUAAUUCGAUCUUGUAGUUAACAAGAAUGCCUCUCUAAAGGAGAUGCUAUCUAUCAGCCUGGAUGAAAAAAGUUGGAGGAGUGUCCAGAAGAAACCAAUUUAUCUGGGAAGAGGUAGAGGUGAAUAGACUUCUAAAUACUCUAACGAAUGCUC
rnacentral:lncRNA from 1 species